AAACCAGCACCUCAAGUGGUCAGGAGGAUUAUUGGGCCUAAAGCAUCCGUAGCCUGUUCUAUAAGUUUCCGGUUAAAUCCACUAGCUCAACUAGUGGGCUGCCGAAAAUACUGUAGAACUAGGGAGUGGGAGAGGUAGACGGUAUUCGGUAGGAAGGGGUAAAAUCCUUUGAUCUAUUGAGGACCACCUGUGGCGAAGGCGGUCUACCAGAACACGUUCGACGGUGAGGGAUGAAAGCUGGGGGAGCAAACCGGAUUAGAAACCCUUGUAGUCC
rnacentral:rRNA from 1 species